rnacentral:rRNA from 1 species
GAUGAACGCUGGCGGCGUGCCUAAUACAUGCAAGUCGAGCGAACAGACGAGGAGCUUGCUCCUCUGACGUUAGCGGCGGACGGGUGAGUAACACGUGGAUAACCUACCUAUAAGACUGGGAUAACUUCGGGAAACCGGAGCUAAUACCGGAUAAUAUAUUGAACCGCAUGGUUCAAUAGUGAAAGACGGUUUUGCUGUCACUUAUAGCUGGAUCCGCGCCGCAUUAGCUAGUUGGUAAGGUAACGGCUUACCAAGGCAACGAUGCGUAGCCGACCUGAGAGGGUGAUCGGCCAAACUGGAACUGGAACACGGUCCAGAAUCCUACGAGAGGCAGCAGUAGGGAAUCUUCCGCAGUGGGCGAAAGCCUGACGGAGCAACGCCGCGUGAGUGAUGAAGGUCUUCGGAUCGUAAAACUCUGUUAUUAGGGAAGAACAAAUGUGUAAGUAACUAUGCACGUCUUGACGGUACCUAACCAGAAAGCCACGGCUAACUACGUG